AUUGCUUCUCAGCCUUUUGGCUAAGAUCAAGUGUAGUAUCUGUUCUUAUCAGUUUAAUAUCUGAUACGUCCUCUAUUUGAGGACAAUAAAAAAAGAAAAUUCCAACUUAA
ensembl:snRNA U2 U2 spliceosomal RNA